AUUGUGUUCUGCUAUGGAUAUUUGUGUUAGUUUCUUAAUCUACAUCUGCUAUUGUGCUUUUAGAUAUUCUCUCUUGUCAAAGUUGGGUUGUCCCAGAAUUGAUGAAAAAUGAGUAAUUGCUUACAAUUAGCCUUUCUAAAUUGUCUUACAAUUCCUGUGCUUUUGGUUGCAGGCAUAUGUGGAAAAGGUUCACAAGGCCUAGUGAAUGCAGUUUAGAAAAUUUAGCCACCUAAUUUGUGGAUUCUAUUUUAGGAAUUGUUAUUUAUUGUCUUAGAUGUGUAUUAUGUUUUCUUACACCCAGAUUUUUGUUUUAGGAUGAGGACAUUUUCCUUUGGGAUGAGGACCUUGGAGUUUAAGAGUUCCACCCAGAUAAGAAUUUAUAUAUCUAUCAUUAAAAGUGAAGGGCUGGAGAUUUCACAACCAGCACUUGAUCCACAACUUUCUGAAAGGUCUUGCUGUGGAGAUUUCACAACCAGCUCUGGAGAUUUUUCAGUUACUUACUGUGCUUAGAACUGGGUUUUGACUUCAUUGGUAUCCAAAUUGAAAGGUCUUGCUGAGAGAAAAAAGCUAGAGGACUUGACAAUUGGUCCAGUUCUCACUGACAUACAAAAUUGGAGGUUGUGAUUUAAGCAGCACUGCUCCUCCUUGUACCAGGUGGAUUGAAAUGAUGGCUCCUGGAUUAGUAAUAUGUAAUUCAAGGAUGGUAGCUUGCUUAGAAUCUUCGUUAGCUUGGGUACUAGUAGUGUUUUUUUAUUUCAGUAAAAACUAGUGGUCUCUUUUGUAACUUCCUGCUGAUUCUAAAAUUUUUUCUCUUAUGUAAUAAUAUGUAAAGGAAGUAGAUAAUGUAAUAGUUGUUGUAAUGAUUUUGAUUUUUGGUAUUUUGUUAGAGCAUGUCAUGUGAUCAAUCACACUAUAUUUGGUGACAAGUUUAUAAAGAUUGGAUUAGUUGAUUUAAAA